rnacentral:snRNA from 1 species
GUUCAUUCCUGGACAUAUACUGAAAUUGGAACAAAACACAGAAGAUUAGCAUGAGCCCUGCGCAAGGAUGACACGCAA